rnacentral:rRNA from 1 species
CCUACGGGAGGCAGCAGUAGGGAAUAUUGCACAAUGGGCGAAAGCCUGAUGCAGCCACGCCGCGUGGGUGAAGAAGGUCUUCGGAUCGUAAAGCCCUUUUGUUAGAGAGGAAAGUGCGUGAGAGUAACUGUUCACGUUUCGACGGUAUCUAACCAAAAAGCCAUGGCUAACUCCGUGCCAGCAGCCGCGGUAAUACGUAGGUGGCAAGCGUUAUUCGGAAUUAUUGGGCGUAAAGGGUACGCAGGCGGUCUUUUAAGUCUGAUGUGAAAGCCUUGGGCUUAACCGGAGUAGUGCAUUGGAAACUGGGAGACUUGAGUGCAGAAGAGGAGAGUGGAACUCCAUGUGUAGCGGUGAAAUGCGUAGAGAUAUGGAAGAAUAC